AGUCAAGAUAUCUCAAGUUUUU
rnacentral:snRNA from 1 species